CGGACGGGUGAGUAACGCGUGAGAAUCUGCCCUUAGGACGGGGACAACAGCUGGAAACGGCUGCUAAUACCCGAUGUGCCGAGAGGUGAAACAUUUUAUGGCCUGAGGAUGAGCUCGCGUCUGAUUAGCUAGUUGGUGGGGUAAGGGCCUACCAAGGCGACGAUCAGUAGCUGGUCUGAGAGGAUGAUCAGCCACACUGGGACUGAGACACGGCCCAGACUCCUACGGGAGGCAGCAGUGGGGAAUUUUCCGCAAUGGGCGCAAGCCUGACGGAGCAAGACCGCGUGCGGGAGGACGGCCUAUUGGUUGUAAACCGCUUUUGAUAGGGAAGAAGUUCUGACGGUACCUAUCGAAUCAGCAUCGGCUAACUCCGUGCCAGCAGCCGCGGUAAUACGGAGGAUGCAAGCGUUAUCCGGAUUUAUUGGGCGUAAAGGGUCCGCAGGUGGUUAUUCAAGUCUGCUGUCAAAGCGCGGAGCUUAACUCCGUACAGGCGGUGGAAACUGAGGAACUAGAGUCUGGUAGGGGUCGCGGGAAUUCCCAGUGUAGCGGUGAAAUGCGUAGAUAUUGGGAAGAACACCGGCGGCGAAAGCGCGCGACUGGACCGGAACUGACACUGAGGGACGAAAGCUAGGGGAGCGAAAGGGAUUAGAUACCCCUGUAGUC
rnacentral:rRNA from 1 species